rnacentral:rRNA from 1 species
UACGAAGGGGGCUAGCGUUGUUCGGAUUUACUGGGCGUAAAGCGCACGUAGGCGGAUCGUUAAGUCGGGGGUGAAAUCCUGGAGCUCAACUCCAGAACUGCCUUCGAUACUGGCGAUCUCGAGUCCGGAAGAGGUGAGUGGAACUCCUAGUGUAGAGGUGGAAUUCGUAGAUAUUAGGAAGAACACCGGUGGCGAAGGCGGCGAGCUGGUCCAUUACUGACGCUGAGGCGCGACAGCGUGGGGAGCAAACAGG